UUAAUUAGUGGACUUGGAAGCUGGAUUACAUUAAAAACUUGUGACUGUAUAAUUUCUUAAGUAUAAUCUUAUCAAUUCUAUAUAGAGGAAUUGUCAUCAUGAAGAGAAACUACUUGUAGCACUUCAUUAACAUUUCUUCCAAAGUUCAGAAUAAAGCAACUGGACAAAUCGGUUACCUGUCUUCAGUUACACUAAUACUUUCUACAAUGCUCAAGUGAUGGACAUGUCGACCUUCAUGAGCAAUGAUGGAAUUAAGCUAAAAGGUACAAUACCUUUAUAUUUAAAGCCUUAACUGAGAUCCUAUGCGAUACCAAUUUAUUUUAGGUUGAAAAUUACGCGAAAAAUGAUAUAUAGGCUAAACCAAGAAAAUUGUCUAUUAAAAAUAAAUACAAAUUAUUAUAAUUACAUUGAUGGUAUUCUGGAAAAAUAGUAUCUACUAAAACCCACUAUUUGCAACUAACAUUAAACAAAAUAUUCUUGAUUAAAACCUUUCGUAAUAGGUAUAUCAUUAUUAUAUAAAACGUAUUUAGUAAUCAAUGUAUAUGAAAAAGUUAUAAAACGACUAAACGUGGAUACACUAAACAUAAGUUACGGCAUCUGGAUGUGCCAGCUAGAACUAAUCGAGUACUACGAAUAUUAAAGUUGCGGGGCCACCUUCAGCAACACAACCUUAAAUAACCUUAAACAAUUUUCUACCAAACUAGUCCUGUAUUUAAAGAAAAUAAAUUAAUGUACUAGUAUAAAUUAGGAAUUAUCUUAAAAGAAAGUUAUGUAAUAAAUACUAAAAUGAAAAAUUUGCUUGCAAGGCCACGUGAUUUUGAAAGAAUUAAAACUCAAGUUUAAUAGAUAUACCUAAGGUAAGUGUUUUAAAAUAAAAACCUGAUCAAUUGAUUAUUCAAAAUCUCAAGGUACAGGAAUUUAUAUCACAUGAAGAAUGGCGACGUGAAGAGAAAGUUGUUUAAUACCUUGGGCUAGAAUAUAGAUGAAGCAUUGUACAAAACAAUAAUUGAAUAUCAUUAUAUAUUUACCUAACAGUAUCAGUUUUGGUAAGAAAAAAGAAAAUACUCUUGAAACUGAUUUUUAAUCCAAUACAUCUAAUAUGAAGCUAAAAGUAAUAAAAAAUUCGCUACAAUGUCCACAAAUUCCAACAAAAGGAAUUAAGGUAUUUCAUCGAAUUACUCUGAAUUUACAUGCGUAGAGAAACAAUUAUGACUUAAAUUUAUUUUACUCAAUUAUUUUGUUAUUUUUAUAUUGAUUAAAAUAAUUCAUUUCCUACAACAACACACACACUACUACUAACUACACAACAAUAAAAAGAUGAAAAUACAUUUGAUUUUUAGAUAAAUAUAAA